GAUGAACGCUAGCUACAGGCUUAACACAUGCAAGUCGAGGGGCGGCAUUUUAGUUUGCUUGCAAACUAAAGAUGGCGACCGGCGCACGGGUGAGUAACACGUAUCCAACCUGCCGAUAACUCGGGGAUAGCCUUUCGAAAGAAAGAUUAAUAUCCGAUGGUAUAUUAAAACCGCAUGGUUUUACUAUUAAAGAAUUUCGGUUAUCGAUGGGGAUGCGUUCCAUUAGAUAGUAGGCGGGGUAACGGCCCACCUAGUCUUCGAUGGAUAGGGGGUUCUGGAGAGGAAGGUCCCCCCACAUUGGAACUGAGACACGGUCCAAACUCCUACGGGAGGCAGCAGUGAGGAAUAUUGGUCAA
rnacentral:rRNA from 1 species